GGAUAUGAGGGCAAUAUGUCACCCAUUGAUGGUCAGGGGGAUUCAGCUACUCUGGUGUCACCAUUCCCACCCACUCCACCUGCAUCCCCUGAAGCUGCACUCCAUGAAGAGACACUCUGGCCCCAUAGAUAUAGGAGGACUGUUCUUAGUAAAGAGCAUAGGAGUAGCUGCCUUCAUGCUAGACCAGGGGUGGGCAAACUUUUUGACUCGAGGGCCACAAUGGGUUCUUAAACUGGACCGGAGGGCCGGAACAAAAGCAUGGAUGGAGUGUUUGUGUGAACUAAUAUAAAUUCAAAGUAAACAUCAUUACAUAAAAAGGUACGGUCUUUUUUUUAAAUACUUUUAUUCAUUUCAAACGGGCCGGAUCAGGCCCACGGGCUGUAGUUUGCCCACAGCUGUAGAGCUUCAACACUCGUUCUCAAGAUCCAUCUGUAGGAGAAUGUAGGGCAGUUCCAACACUCCAGACAUAUCCACCUGAGGAGUUGCACUUGGCAGUCUGCCUUUAAAAU
rnacentral:snRNA from 1 species